GCCCGUACAAAUGUUUCUAGAGAUGGUUAUAUUAAAAAAGUAUCUCUAUUGUAGAGGUGGUUGGUGUUUCUAGUCAACUCUAGAAACGCCCUCCAAUUUUAGAGGUAUUGAUGAUUUUCACCCAUAUUAGGUAAUUUUAUCCGCUACUAAACAUAGGUGUAUCAUAAAAAAUCAUAAUUUUUCAAAUGAAAUCACAUGUAGAUGAACUUUAUAUCAAAGUUUUAAGAGAUCUAUAACUUUGUAGUAGUCUUAUUUUUCAUUUAAAAUUUUUUAGGCCUAAAAUAUGUUUUAAUUUUCUAAAUUUUUAAUUUUUCUUAAAUGGUCUCAGAUGCAGAGACGUUGUAUGCUAAAGUUGUUGUGCUUGUCUGCUUGAUGAGAUAAAAAAGACUGUGUAAUAACACUCAAAUUUUUGUGCACUGGAUAUGGUUUCUAUCUGCUCCUAGCGUUGAAGAUGUAAUGCAUCAGAAUGACUCGACACAACAUUAUAUCUGUAACUAAUAUAAAUAUUUACUGGUAUUAGUAAUGAAUGAAUUGUGAGUUUAGAUACGAAUUGUUGUAAAUUUUUAUUUACAGAAAUUUACUUGUGAAUGUACAUUCAUGUCUUGUAGCUUUUAGUAUAGAAGAAAACAAAAUGUAGAUUCAAUAUAAUUGGUGUAACUAGUGUGCUUAAGUAUUUAUACGCAUGUACGUACGAGAGCACAAUAAUGGACAUGCAUGCACGGCCGGGGCCCUGCUUUCAAAAGCAGCACAUAUGCUUUGCUUGGUCGAUCCAACUACGGUCUUCAGAUGCUGAGAUGGAUGCCCAUAAAAAGCAAGAGUGCUUUGGAAGGUUAGUUUUCUUUUUUUCUUUUUUCUAAUUCCAACGCUUACGCGUGUCGCCAUACGUCGCGUUUGCAAUAUAUAUAAUCUCAGUCAUUCUCAUCACGUAGCGAAAUUAUUGUUCGUCGCGUACCCACGCCCAAUUCGCCGCAUGCUUUAGUAUAGUAGUGGGCCAACGAGCUCCCACGUACGUGUACCUAAUUUCGUUUGACUCAAAGUGUACCAUAUACAAAGAACACAAAGCUUUGUGUAAGGUGAUCACCUGAUCAUCGUUCGUAUGAAAAGAAUGAAAUAAAAGGGCGCAAAAUAAAAAGGAUGGAUAUAUUUUCCACUUUGGUUGUACGUACUGAAUAUGCCCAUAUAUUAUAUAUUUUUAUAUAUUUAUAACACAAAGCUUUAGUACAUUUAUUUAUCUUCUUUGAUCGGACAAGACCGGCAAGGAGAAUGUGGUGUGCCCCAUAGCCGACCGGUCACUCAAGCACUAGUGCACGAUGCUUCGCGGGGAAAGCUAGACAGGCGAUGGAUAUGAUGAUUGAGGCUUAAAAUCCAAAAUUUUUUGAGAUUUGGAUACUGUAAUACUUUCAUUUGUAUUUGAUAAUUAUUGUCUAAAAAUAUUGAUUAAUUAGAUUCAAAAGAUUCAUAUAUACAGAUAAACUAUAUAUACAAUUAGUUAUUUUUGUAUUUAUAUUUAAGGCUUUAUACAUGCGUUUUAAAUUCAAUGGGAUAAGAAAUCUUAAAAAAAAUUAGGUUCACUUGGACGCCUCAGCCGUUCAGGCGAACGAACAUGUAUGCACGCGCAUAUACGUACUACCCAACUUACCUACCAGCACCGCAGCACGUCGCCGAUUUUUUUUUUCUUCCUGAUAUUGAUGAAGCAUGAUGUCCCUUCUUGUUGCAACGUAUAGUAUACGUACUGAUCUACGUAGUGGAUGCACGCAUGGCAGGUAGCUAGCUAGAGUAGCUAACCAAGUACAAGUAGUAGCAAGGAUAAGAUGCAUGUGCAUGGUCCACUGCAAAUGUACGUAUACGUGCACGCAUGUAUCAUCAGUAUAUAUACGUGUACGUAUAAGGCAGGUUUGCAUGUGGCGGCUCGCAGUGUACGGGGUUUACUUAGGCUUCUUUACUUCCACUCAAAAAUUCAAAAUUUUUCAAUAUUUCUCGUCACAUCGAAUCUAGACGUAUGCAUGGAGUAUUAAAUAUAGACGGAAAUAAAAACUAAUUAUACAGUUUGGUCGAAAUUGACAAGACGAAUGUUUUGAGCCUA
rnacentral:lncRNA from 1 species